AUUUGACAUGGUGCAGUAUUUUAUGUAUUAAACCAGGCAGCAGAUAUGUCUAUUCAUUGCAUUCUUUAUAAAUUCGUCAAGUCUUAAAUGCAGAUGAUGGGCUAAUUUUUCAAAGAGGGAGUCUAACAUGAUACAUGUUUAGUCUUAUAUCAAUAAAACUCUACGUUGUUAUAUGACAGGGAAGGCUAAAUAAUAGCAAAUGUUUGAGACUAUUACAGAAUAAUAAGUAUGAAAUUAUGAGCAAAUUCUCUCUUACGGUAGCUUGGAUGCAACAAAGGUUCAGCUAGCCCUGCAUUCUGGAAGUGGGUGGCAGACAAAUUACGCUAGUUCCAUCAGCAAUUGUAGAAUCUCCUUUAAGCCCCCCUUAGAAAACUGGUUGAAAAUAUGCAUUUUCAGAUAGUUUGCUCCUUAAAUAUUCAUUUUGUUUCUGAGAUUCAGUAUAAAAAUUAUGCAGUUGAGAGAAUGAUAGAAUUUCAAGUUUGAAAAGUUCCUUAAAGCUAACUGGUCAAGUGGUGUUUAGCCUGCUGUUUAUCUUCUACCAAACACUUUGUCAAAAAAAAAUGAGCUCUACCAUCAUUGAAAAAGAAAGCUACGUUUUCCAAGAAUGACAUUGAUAAGUUAUUUGAUUGAUAAGAAUUCUGCUAUAUUUAUCACUUACAGUAGGUUUCAAAACAAUGAAAAAGUUGUGAUGGUAGUUUUGGAGUAAGUCUUAUGUGUAUUAUUACUUCCUGUGUUGAGUUCCAUGGUUAUACAAUAUAUGAAAAGUAGAUUAAAACCAGGAUAGGCUGUUUGGAAAUUUAAGAGAAUGAUGGAAAACAAACAACAAACAAACAAACAAACAUUUUUCCAGGGGCCUCGAGUAGUCAAGACGUUAGUAGUUCGUGUCAUCUUUGUGUUUUAGUAAAAGCCUGACUCACUGAAAGAAAGCAAGCUGCAUGAGAAAUUACAGACAAGAUGGACCAAUCGCACAGUUUCAUUUUAAGCACUACAAAAAUAAAUAGCAGCAUUAUUAUUAAAGGACUGUAGGCAAUUCAAAAGGGAUGUUCAAAUAAAAUAAUAAUAUGUUAGCAAAGAAAUACAUGAAAGGUGGAAGCCAAACAUACUAUAUUUUGAAAGGAAAUUGCAUAUAGCAAGUAUGAUAUCUACUUCUACUUCAGAGCAGGUAUGAGGCUAUCAUAGACCAAAAGCUGAAUUAAGAAAGUAAAUUUUACUUUUAGUUGUUUGCUUAAAACUUGAGUUUCACUCUAGUUGCCACAA
rnacentral:lncRNA from 1 species